rnacentral:misc_RNA from 1 species
CCGUUCUCUUGAAAGUAAAACGGAAAUAUCUUUUAAACAAUUCAAUUUAGGUAUAGGAACAUUUAUUAACUCAGCAAUCAUUUUUUAAUUCUUUGUCUUAUAUCGACGUAAAAAAAAUUACAUGGGAGACAUAGGAAUCAUCGAAGUGUCCAGUCCUUAAUAUAAAGUAGUCCAUGCUCGGUGACGUUUCACCAAUUUAUUCUCCUUUGUUGCCUGAUAUUGACGUUCCUAAAGGUAUUGAUUCACAGCAUUUUAAAGAAAUAACAUUGGCUGUUCAGCUACCAUCUUCUGACUGGAACUGGGUCUAUCAUGAAAAAUCAAAAACAGCUGUAUGCAUCGCUAUUGAAAACCUUCCAGACGGCAACAUUGGUAUUGCGAAGUCAUUGCAAAUUCAAUCAACAUCGAAAGCUUCUGUUCACGUCGGAGGCCAAAAUGUAAUUCUGUCUGGCUGUGAUGUAAGAUACGAAGGGUACGAUGACAUCAAUCGCUACCUUCGCAUUCUGAGCAAUGUGAAAGCUUGUAAAGGAUUUCUAAACGACGCAAUGGGAAACGUCAACGUUAUCGAAAGGUGCUCGAUUACGAGAAAUGGCCAAGUGUUGCGCUCAACCAGCUGCCGAUAUAUAGCCUCACCUAAUUCCAAGACUGAUCUGUGUCGAGAUUGCGCAAAUUGCUUAAGGAAUUUGAGAAAACGAGUCAUGCAGCCAAAGAACAUUGAAAUUUCCAAGAGGAAGCUGACGACUGCGCUUCAAAAGAUCAGACGCUUGAAAUCAAGAGAAGUUGUACGUUCAUAAUUUAAUUUAAAAGCAUGUAAAGGCACGCAAGCAUGUAAGGACGCAUUUUAAGGAUGUAAAUACAAAGUGAUGUAAAUCUCAAUUUAAUUUCUUUUUUUACAAUUACAUUUCAUAUUUUUUGGUUCUUUCAUAUAAUUGUAAUAUAAUACAAAUCAACUCAGUCGAAUAACAAUCAAAAUAGGCUAUUAUAGCUUUAUAAGUACACAAACAAUGUGCAAUCGGACUUAGAAAAUUUUCAAACCUUUGAGAGCAUUCAGGGGGAGGGGCUUAUAGCUCAUAGUUAACCCAACUGUCCACCAGGCAGCGCUGAUCAGUGGUGAUCACUGGCUUCAGCCGAGAUAGCCGAUUCCAAGCAAUAGUUCCUCCACCAUACUAAUACACCAUGCUGCGUUUGCCCACCUCUCCUGGUACAUCGUGGUUGAACGAAGACUUUGGUGAAGAAGUAAUAGAUAGGGCUCGGCCCCGAUUACCUGAACCCCAAAAAACCGCACUGACCUACCUGGAAAAUGGCCGAUCGGUUGCGACACGGGUAUGUACUUUUCAAGCGGUUCGGUUCGGUGCGAUGAACCCGUAGUAAUCGGGUACGAACCGCUGCCAUCUUGCAAAAUGAGGCUAAAAGGGUUGGAAAUUCUAAAGUUGGAGCCUGAUUGGCUGAUUCAAGUAGACGCGUUUAGACGCUGAGUGGAGUGAGUGCUGAUCGUUGGCGUUAGGCAACAGCAUCAAAAGUUUUCCUCUCUCUUUUCUUUUCAAGAAAGUCAAAAGGAAGUAAAGCCACUUGAAAUAUGACGACGAAAACAUCUUUAACGAAUUCAGUGGAACAGAAUAGACCGAUUUCAGCCACAUCGAGUAUUUCAGAUGAAAGUUUAGUGAGCAUUAUAAUUGAUUUGGAUGACACUGGUGAAACAAAUGUCGAAAGUGAGCACAGAAUGAAUUCCUCCAGACCAAAAGGUUCAUCUACAUCUACAUGUGUUCGUGAAAGUGAACUUGCUGAAACUCAUUCUGCAACGAAGGUUAAGAAGAAAAAGUCUUGGGUUUGGUUACACUUUGAUCAAAUUAAGAACUCAAAUUCAAGCAAGUGCAAGUAUUGCUCGAGUACUUUUGUGAUCAGUGGAACUGGCACUAUGUCUAAGCACUUAUAUGCUAAGCACUCUACUAUGUUGACGAAGACAAAUCAAAGCAGUUUGAAUAGUAUGGGGAAAAUUAUCAAGCCGUUCAAGGGAAGAAGCAGCGUUUCGGAAAUUUACGUCAAAAUUACAGCCACUAUACAAACCCCUUGGAGCGACUGCUGUAAAGGAUAGGUUAAUGCGUACCUAUGUUAAAAUGAAGCAGAAAUUAUCGAACAAUUCGGCAAAGCAAAUGUGGCCCUCACUACUGAUUUGUGGACGUCCCCCAAUAACUAAUCCUUCAUGGGCAUAGCUAUUGCAAUGUGGAAUGAAAAGUUCCAACCUAUUGAUAUCAUUAUUGGCUUCAAACCUGUGCUGGGUGAUCAUUCUGGUGUCAAUUUAGCUGAGAAUUUCUACAACAACCUUACUUCUUAUCAGCUAAAUGACAAGAUAUUGGCCAUCACCACGGAUAAUGCAAGUUCUAAUGCAACGUUCAUUGAACAUAUCAUUUAUUUAACAAGGAACACCUCACGUCCUUUUAAAAGAGAAAAAUGGAUCCGUUGUUUUGCGCAUGUCAUAAACCUUACCGUGAAAUCUGCUCUUAACGAAAUGACCGUCCUGAUUCAAACAGUAUUUGAAUGACUUAUAUUUUUCAUUUAAAAUUUUUUUCAGGUUUUCUUUUGUGUUUUUCAGCUCCAUGAUCUCGUUGUGGCAAUCAGAUCUUCACCACAACGGAUUCAAAAAUUCAAAUCCAUCUUUAAAAAAUGCAUAUUUGGGACUUCCGAUUUACUUUAUGAAGAAGACGAGCUUUUUUCAUCAGAUGGUGGCGUCGUACCCCAAGAUUUGCUUCCAAUAUUGGACUGUCCAACGUUGUGGAGUUCCACAUAUUUUUUUCUGAAACGUGGUUUUAAAGUAAGAUAUGCAAUUGAUAAAAUUGCAAUGGAUGUGGAGCUACGAAAAAACGAGCUGCAGGAUGGGGAAUGGCAGAUCCUUCGGCAAGUGUUUUCCUUCCUAGAGGACUUCGCUGUCGCAACAACUUACAUUGAAGCAAGUCAGUAUCCGACGCUUUUCCUCGUUGUACCGAUGUACAAUCGAUUACUGAAUUUGUUGGAAGAAGCAUCAACUGACCGAAGCAAGCAUCCGCUGUUGGUAAAGGGAGCUACAGCCGGGUUUCAGAAAUAGUCUUCUUACUACGACAAAGUCUCCUGUGGUCAUGGCAGCCACCUUUAUUGAUCCAAGGUGCAAAAUGCAAUAUAUUAUCCGUAAUGGAUGGAGUUGUGGGGGUGAUAUGACUAACUCCUAUUCUGGUAUCGAUGAAAACCUAAUUAUAACGCAUGUUAUGCCAACAAUUCAACGUGUUUUUAAAGAUUAUUACAUGCAAACCAGCCGCAGUCUGCCAUUGUCUAGUAACGACGGUAUUGUUACUAGAAGCGAUUCUGGGAAUCGGUACAAAAGCGGAACUAGUACAAAGUC